GACCGCGUGGUUCAGUUGGCAGAGCAUUGGGCUAGUAUUCCAAAGGUCGUAGGUUCGAAUCCCACCGUGGCCA
rnacentral:tRNA from 1 species